rnacentral:rRNA from 1 species
UCGAGAAUUUUUCUCAAUGGGGGAAACCCUGAAGGAGCGACGCCGCGUGGAGGAUGAAGGUCUUCGGGUUGUAAACUCCUGUCAUUUGGGAACAAGGUGUGCGCGUUAACUGCGCGCGCAUUGAUAGUACCAGAAGAGGAAGAGACGGCUAACUCUGUGCCAGCAGCCGCGGUAAUACAGAGGUCUCAAGCGUUGUUCGGAUUCAUUGGGCGUAAAGGGUGCGUAGGCGGCGCGGUAAGUCGGAUGUGAAAUCUCGGAGCUUAACUCCGAAACUGCAUUCGAUACUGCCGUGCUUGAGGACUGGAGAGGAGACUGGAAUUUACGGUGUAGCGGUGAAAUGCGUAGAUAUCGUAAGGAAGACCAGUGGCGAAGGCGGGUCUCUGGACAGUUCCUGACGCUGAGGCACGAAGGCCAGGGGAGCAAACGGGAUUAGAUACCCCCGUAGUCC